rnacentral:rRNA from 1 species
UACGUAGGGUGCAAGCGUUGUCCGGAAUUAUUGGGCGUAAAGAGCGUGUAGGCGGCCCGAUUAGUCCGCUGUGAAAGUCCAGGGCUCAACCCUGGAAUGCCGGUGGAUACUGCCGGGCUAGAGUCCGGAAGAGGCGAGUGGAACUCCUGGUGUAGCGGUGGAAUGCGCAGAUAUCAGGAAGAACACCAACGGCGAAGGCAGCUCGCUGGGACGGUACUGACGCUGAGACGCGAAAGCGUGGGGAGCGAACAGG